AACAAACGCUGGCGGCGUGCCUAACACAUGCAAGUCGAACGGGGGGAACAUGAAGUAUUUCGGUACGGAAUGCGCCCCUAGUGGCGAACGGGUGAGUAACACGUGGGCAACCUGCCCCAGACUGGGGGAUAACAUUGUGAAAACAGUGCUAAUACCGCAUGACAGGGUUCCGGGCAUCCGGGACCCUUGAAAGGAGAAAUCCGGUCAGGGAUGGGCCCGCGUCCAAUUAGCUAGUUGGCGGGGUAACGGCCCACCAAGGCGACGAUUGGUAGCCGAACUGAGAGGUUGAUCGGCCACAUUGGGACUGAGACACGGCCCAGACUCCUACGGGAGGCAGCAGUGGGGAAUAUUGGGCAAUGGGCGAAAGCCUGACCCAGCGACGCCGCGUGAAGGAUGAAGGUCUUCGGAUUGUAAACUUCUUUGAUCAGGGAAGAAAGAAAUGACGGUACCUGAAAAACAAGCCACGGCUAACUACGUG
rnacentral:rRNA from 1 species